AAAUUCUCAAUCUUCUCUCUCUUUCCUUAUCCUCCACGACCCCGAGCCCGUCGCCGCUGUCCACACGCCAUGCACCCGCCGGGCGAGAUGGUGCCGCCAUGGAGCGCGUAGAGCUCAUCCUCGAGGAAGGCCAUGGCGUGGUGGAACACUCCGGUGAUGCGGUGAACGCCGACGGUGUAGCCCUCUUCGGCCCCGCCUCUCUCACUCUCUUGGUUCUCGGGCUCCUCCCAUGGAGGCGACAUCGGAGGCGAAUCCAUGAAUGGGAGGGCAGGGAGGGCCAUUUCUAUUUUUUUUAUUUUUCCAAAAACUAUAUCACUGUCGGUCGUCUUUGGUGCCCGCCACUGAUGGGUUAUUCAUCAGGCAAGAAGUUAGUGACAGGCACUAAUAACCGUUUUUUAAGUAGUGA